rnacentral:rRNA from 1 species
AUUGAACGCUGGCGGCAGGCCUAACACAUGCAAGUCGAACGAGUGGCGGACGGGUGAGUAAUGUCUGGGAAACUGCCUGAUGGAGGGGGAUCACUACUGGAAACGGUAGCUAAUACCGCAUACCAUCAGAUGUGCCCAGAUGGGAUUAGCUUGUUGCUUGGGUAACGGCUCACCAAGGCGAUGAUGCCUAGCUUGUAUGAGAGGAUGACCUGCCACACUGGAACUGAGAUACGGUCCAGACUCCGACGGGAGUCAGCAGUGGGGAAUAUUGCACUAUGGGCGAUAGUCUGAUGCAGCCAUGCCGCGUGUAUGAAGAAGACCUUCGGGUUGUAAAGGACUUUCAGCCGGGAGGCGUUACCCGCAGAAGAAGCACCGGCUAACUCUGUGCCAGCAGCCGCGGUAAUUC